rnacentral:rRNA from 1 species
GACGAACGCUGGCGGCGUGCUUAACACAUGCAAGUCGAACGGAAAGGCCCUGCUUUUGUGGGGUGCUCGAGUGGCGAACGGGUGAGUAACACGUGAGUAACCUGCCCUUGACUUUGGGAUAACUUCAGGAAACUGGGGCUAAUACCGGAUAGGAGCUCCUGCUGCAUGGUGGGGGUUGGAAAGUUUCGGCGGUUGGGGAUGGACUCGCGGCUUAUCAGCUUGUUGGUGGGGUAGUGGCUUACCAAGGCUUUGACGGGUAGCCGGCCUGAGAGGGUGACCGGCCACAUUGGGACUGAGAUACGGCCCAGACUCCUACGGGAGGCAGCAGUGGGGAAUAUUGCACAAGGGGCGGAAGCCUGAUGCAGCAACGCCGCGUGCGGGAUGACGGCCUUCGGGUUGUAAACCGCUUUCGCCUGUGACGAAGCGUGAGUGACGGUAAUGGGUAAAGAAGCACCGGCUAACUACGUGC